UUCGCGGCGCGUCAGUUGCCCUGUUGCAAUAGUAGCCUUCGCAUCCUUGUCUCCUUUCCUAAGGGAAUGCGCACAGUGGUCCCGAUUUGAAACCUUUGAGGGAUGUUGUGAAAUGUGCAGUUGGAUUUGCACUGGAGGGGCCUUAUGUAAAAGCACACUUGCUCCCACACCAACACAUGAACAAGUGUGAAAAGUACCUAUUGCACACCUCUCUGGAACCAAGGGCUGGUUUCACCAAGGUCGUCGGAUGCAAAAACCAAGUGAAAAACAACCAUCAACGUUGCUUGCAAAUUCACACGUUCUUUUCUGGGAUUGAAAUGGAAUUCAUUAAGCAGACGCUUUCAUCCAAUGCAACGGACUGUAAGGGGGUCAUGUGAACCUGCCACCUCUUGCAACCUCUUGACCUGCAUGCAAAUGCUGUAACCACUGAGCUAUACCCUCCACCUUGGGCUCCCGGGAAAUACAAACCUACAGAUUGACUCCAGGAUCCUAUAUGGCUUUAAGGUCUCAAUGUGUGUGUGUGCGCUGUGGGCUGUGAGGUCGAGGGCUCUGCAGGUCACUGAGGCACGGCUCCUCCGCUAUUGUUUCGUGAAAAAUCGCAUCUCACGCAUGACCACAGGAUUAUUUAGGAUGAUGGGACAGUGAAGAGA